AGUGAACGCUGGCGGUAGGCCUAACACAUGCAAGUCGAACGGCAGCACAGUAAGAGCUUGCUCUUACGGGUGGCGAGUGGCGGACGGGUGAGGAAUACAUCGGAAUCUACUUUUUCGUGGGGGAUAACGUAGGGAAACUUACGCUAAUACCGCAUACGACCUACGGGUGAAAGCAGGGGAUCUUCGGACCUUGCGCGAUUGAAUGAGCCGAUGUCGGAUUAGCUAGUUGGCGGGGUAAAGGCCCACCAAGGCGACGAUCCGUAGCUGGUCUGAGAGGAUGAUCGGCCACACUGGAACUGGGACACGGUCCAGGCUCCUAAGGGAGGCAGCAGUGGGGAAUAUUAGACAAUGGGCGCAAGCCUGAUCCAGCCAUACCGCGUGGGUGAAGAAGGCCUUCGGGUUGUAAAGCCCUUUUGUUGGGAAAGAAAAGCAGCAGGUUAAUACCCCGCUGUUCUGACGGUACCCAAAGAAUAAGCACCGGCUAACUUCGUG
rnacentral:rRNA from 1 species